rnacentral:rRNA from 1 species
UACAGAGGGGGCGAGCGUUGUUCGGAAUUACUGGGCGUAAAGGGCGCGUAGGCGGCCUUCUAAGUCGAACGUGAAAUCCCCGGGCUCAACCCGGGAACUGCGUCCGAUACUGGGAGGCUUGAAUCCGGGAGAGGGAUGUGGAAUUCCAGGUGUAGCGGUGAAAUGCGUAGAUAUCUGGAGGAACACCGGUGGCGAAGGCGGCAUCCUGGACCGGUAUUGACGCUGAGGCGCGAAAGCUAGGGGAGCGAACGGG